rnacentral:rRNA from 1 species
AACGAACGCUGGCGGCAGGCCUAAAACAUGCAAGUCGAACGAACCUUCGGGUUAGUGGCGCACGGGUGAGUAACACGUGGGAAUGUGCCUCUGGGUGCGGAACAACGUCGGGAAACUGACGCUAAUACCGCAUAAUGUCUACGGACCAAAGAUUUAUUGCCCAGAGAUCAGCCCGCGUCUGAUUAGCUAGUUGGUGAGGUAAUGGCUCACCAAGGCGACGAUCAGUAGCUGGUCUGAGAGGAUGAUCAGCCACACUGGAACUGAGACACGGUCCAGACUCCUACGGGAGGCAGCAGUUAGGAAUAUUGGACAAUGGGGGCAACCCUGAUCCAGCCAUGCCGCGUGUGUGAAGAAGGCCUUAGGGUUGUAAAGCACUUUCGGCUGUGAAGAUAAUGACAGUAGCAGAAGAAGAAGCGCCGGCUAAAUUCGUGUCAGCCGCCGCAGUAA